GACGUAGGGGGCCAGCGUUGUUCGGAAUUACUGGGCGUAAAGGGCACGUAGGCGGCCACCGCAAGUCGGUUGUGAAAUCUCUGGGCUUAACCCAGAAAGGUCAACCGAUACUGCGGGGCUAGAGUGCAGAAGGGGCAACUGGAAUUCUCGGUGUAGCGGUGAAAUGCGUAGAUAUCGAGAGGAACACCUGCGGCGAAGGCGGGUUGCUGGGCUGACACUGACGCUGAAGCGCGAAAGCUAGGGGAGCGAACGGG
rnacentral:rRNA from 1 species